rnacentral:rRNA from 1 species
GACGAACGCUGGCGGCGUGCUUAACACAUGCAAGUCGAACGGAAAGGCCUCUUUCGGGGGGUACUCGGGUGGCGAACGGGUGAGUAACACGUGAGUAACCUGCCCUUGACUUUGGGAUAACUUCAGGAAACUGGGGCUAAUACCAGAUAGGAGCUCCUGCUGCAUGGUGGGGGUUGGAAAGUUUCGGCGGUUGGGGAUGGACUCGCGGCUUAUCAGCUUGUUGGUGGGGUAGUGGCUUACCAAGGCUUUGACGGGUAGCCGGCCUGAGAGGGUGACCGGCCACAUUGGGACUGAGAUACGGCCCAGACUCCUACGGGAGGCAGCAGUGGGGAAUAUUGCACAAUGGGUGGAAGCCUGAUGCAGCAACGCCGUGUGCGGGAUGACGGCCUUCGGGUUGUAAACCGCUUUCGCUCAUGACGAAGCUUUGUGUGACGGUAGUGGGUAAAGAAGCACCGGCUAACUACGUG